UACCAUGCCGAGCUCGAACGUAUGUCACCACUUCGGAUGGGUGUAUUAUCUGGCGCAACGGGUGAGUAACACGUGGGCAAUCUGCCCUGCACUCUGGGACAAGCCCUGGAAACGGGGUCUAAUACCGGAUACUGAUCAUCUUGGGCAUCUUGGAUGAUCGAAAGCUCCGGCGGUGCAGGAUGAGCCCGCGGCCUAUCAGCUAGUUGGUGAGGUAAUGGCUCACCAAGGCGACGACGGGUAGCCGGCCUGAGAGGGCGACCGGCCACACUGGGACUGAGACCGGCCCAGACUACUACGGGAGGCAGCAGUGGGGAAUAUUGCACAAUGGGCGAAAGCCUGAUGCAGCGACGCCGCGUGAGGGUGACGGCCUUCGGUUGAAACCUCUUUCAGCAGGGAAAACGAAAUGACGGUACCUGCAAAAAGCGCGGCUAACUACGUGCACACCGCGGAAUACUAGGCGCGAGCGUGCCGGAUUUUGG
rnacentral:rRNA from 1 species